rnacentral:rRNA from 1 species
GAUGAACGCUAGCGACAGGCCUAACACAUGCAAGUCGAGGGGCAGCACAGUGUAGCAAUACAUAGGUGGCGACCGGCGCACGGGUGAGUAACGCGUAUGCAACCUGCCUACAACAGGGGGAUAACCCGGAGAAAUCCGGACUAAUACCGCAUAAAACAGGGGUCCCGCAUGGGAGUAUUUGUUAAAGAUUUAUCGGUUGUAGAUGGGCAUGCGUUCCAUUAGUUAGUUGGUGAGGUAACGGCUCACCAAGACGUCGAUGGAUAGGGGAACUGAGAGGUUUGUCCCCCAACUGGAACUGAGACACGGACCAGACUCCUACGGGAGGCAGCAGUGAGGAAUAUUGGUCAAUGGACGCAAGUCUGAACCAGCCACGUCGCGUGAAGGAAGACGGCCCUACGGGUUGUAAACUUCUUUUAUACGGGAAUAAAGUGCCCCACGCGUGGGGUUUUGCAUGUACCGUAUGAAUAAGGAUCGGCUAACUCCGUGCCAGCAGCCGCGGUAAGUC